AGUCUUAACUGGGCGUUAAGUUGCAGGGUAUAGACCCGAAACCCGGUGAUCUAGCCAUGGGCAGGUUGAAGGUUGGGUAACACUAACUGGAGGACCGAACCGACUAAUGUUGAAAAAUUAGCGGAUGACUUGUGGCUGGGGGUGAAAGGCCAAUCAAACCGGGAGAUAGCUGGUUCUCCCCGAAAGCUAUUUAGGUAGCGCCUCGUGAACUCAUCUUCGGGGGUAGAGCACUGUUUCGGCUAGGGGGUCAUCCCGACUUACCAACCCGAUGCAAACUGCGAAUACCGAAGAAUGUUAUCACGGGAGACACACGGCGGGUGCUAACGUCCGUCGUGAAGAGGGAAACAACCCAGACCGCCAGCUAAGGUCCCAAAGUCACAGUUAAGUGGGAAACGAUGUGGGAAGGCUCAGACAGCCAGGAUGUUGGCUUAGAAGCAGCCAUCAUUUAAAGAAAGCGUAAUAGCUCACUGGUCGAGUCGGCCUGCGCGGAAGAUGUAACGGGGCUAAACUGUGCACCGAAGCUGCGGCAGCGACGCUUAUGCGUUGUUGGGUAGGGGAGCGUUCUGUAAGCCUGCGAAGGUGUCCUGUGAGGGAUGCUGGAGGUAUCAGAAGUGCGAAUGCUGACAUAAGUAACGAUAAUGCGGGUGAAAAGCCCGCUCGCCGGAAGACCAAGGGUUCCUGUCCAACGUUAAUCGGGGCAGGGUGAGUCGACCCCUAAGGCGAGGCCGAAAGGCGUAGUCGAUGGGAAACGGGUUAAUAUUCCCGUACUUGGUGUUACUGCGAAGGGGGGACGGAGAAGGCUAUGUUGGCCGGGCGACGGUUGUCCCGGUUUAAGCGUGUAGGCUGGUUUUCCAGGCAAAUCCGGAAAAUCAAG
rnacentral:rRNA from 1 species